AACGAACGCUGGCGGCGCGCCUAAUACAUGCAAGUCGAGCGAGAAGGUGUAGCAAUACACUUGUAAAGCGGCGAACGGGUGAGGAAUGCAUGGGUAACCUACCCUCGAGUGGGGAAUAACUAGCCGAAAGGUUAGCUAAUACCGCAUACGUUUCCGGAACUUCGGUUUCGGAAAGAAAGCAAUACCGUGGGUAUUGCGCUCCUGGAUGGGCUCAUGUCCUAUCAGCUUGUUGGUGAGGUAACGGCUCACCAAGGCUUCGACGGGUAGCUGGUCUGAGAGGACGAUCAGCCACACUGGCACUGCGACACGGGCCAGACUCCUACGGGAGGCAGCAGUAAGGAAUAUUGCGCAAUGGACGAAAGUCUGACGCAGCGACGCCGCGUGGGGGAUGAAGGUCUUCGGAUUGUAAACCCCUUUCGGGAGGGAAGAUGGAGUGGGUAACCACUUGGACGGUACCUCCAGAAGCAGCCACGGCUAACUUCGUGCCAGCAGCCGCGGUAAU
rnacentral:rRNA from 1 species